rnacentral:rRNA from 1 species
AGAGUUUGAUCAUGGCUCAGAAUCAACGCUGGCGGCGUGCCUCAGACAUGCAAGUCGAACGCGAAAGUCCCCUUCGGGGGGCAAGUAGAGUGGCGUCCGGGUGAGUAACACGUAGGUAAUCUACCUUCGGGUGGGGAAUAACCCAGGGAAACUUGGGCUAAUACCGCAUAAUGCAGCGGCACCACAUGGUGACAGUUGUUAAAGCGGGGGAUCUUCGGAUCUCGCGCCUGAAGAGGAGCCUGCGGCAGAUUAGCUAGUUGGUAAGGUAAUGGCUUACCAAGGCGACGAUCUGUAGCCGGCCUGAGAGGGCGGUCGGCCACACUGACACUGACAUACGGGUCAGACUCCUACGGGAGGCAGCAGUCGGGAAUUUUGGGCAAUGGGCGAAAGCCUGACCCAGCAACGCCGCGUGAAGGAUGAAAUCCCUCGGGAUGUAAACUUCGCAAGAAUAGGAAGAAUUAGCGAGUAUUAAUACUGCUCGUGAUGACGGUACUAUUUGUAAGCUCCGGCUAACUCCGUGCCAGCAGCCGCGGUAAUACGGGGGGAGCAAGCGUUGUUCGGAUUUACUGGGCGUAAAGGGCGCGUAGGCGGUCAGCACAAGUCAGUUGUGAAAUCUCCGGGCUUAACUCGGAAAGGUCAACUGAUACUGUGCGACUAGAGUGCAGAAGGGGCAACUGGAAUUCUCGGUGUAGCGGUGAAAUGCGUAGAUAUCGAGAGGAACACCUGCGGCGAAGGCGGGUUGCUGGGCUGACACUGACGCUGAUGCGCGAAAGCCAGGGGAGCGAACGGGAUUAGAUACCCUAGUAGUCC